rnacentral:ncRNA from 1 species
CCUUCCCCCCAAAGACAGGGCACACGCGCCGGGGACGUAAGGGAAUCCGGUGAGAAUCCGGAGCGGUCCCGCCACUGUGAGCGGCGAGGCCGGUCCCGCCUUUUGAGGGGGCUCCUCCCGGGAGGGGUCCCGGUCACUGGGCCACCGCCAGAGCGGGGCCCGGGAAGGCCGCGGAGCCGCGCCGCCCGAGCCGCGAGCCAGGAGACCUUGCCCCGGCGCCGCGCCGCAAG